CAGUCGCCGCGGUAAUUCAGAGGGUGCAAGCGUUAAUCGGAAUUACUGGGCGUAAAGCGCGCGUAGGUGGUUUGUUAAGUUGGAUGUGAGAUCCCCGGGCUCAACCUGGGAACUGCAUCCAAAACUGGCGGGCUAGAGUAGGGCAGAGGGUGGUGGAAUUUCCUGUGUAGCGGUGAAAUGCGUAGAUAUAGGAAGGAACACCAGUGGCGAAGGCGACCACCUGGGCUCAUACUGACACUGAGGUGCGAAAGCGUGGGGAGCAAACAGGAUUAGAUACCCCAGUAGUCCCUGUCUCUUAUAC
rnacentral:rRNA from 1 species